rnacentral:rRNA from 1 species
UACGGAGGAUGCAAGCGUUAUCCGGAUUUAUUGGGCGUAAAGCGUCCGCAGGUGGUUAUGCAAGUCAGUGGUGAAAGCCUGGAGCUCAACUCCAGAACUGCCAUUGAAACUGUUAGACUUGAGUACGAGAGAGGUGAGUGGAAUUCCCAGUGUAGAGGUGAAAUUCGUAGAUAUUGGGAAGAACACCGGUGGCGAAGGCGGCUCACUGGCUCGUAACUGACGCUCAGGCGCGACAGCGUGGGGAUCAAACAGG